UACGUAGGGGCGAGCGUUGUCCGGAAUUAUUGGGCGUAAAGGGCGCGCAGGCGGUUUCUUAAGUCUGAUGUGAAAUCUCGUGGCUUAACCACGAGCGGUCGUUGGAAACUGGGAAACUUGAGUACAGAAGAGGAGAGUGGAAUUCCAUGUGUAGCGGUGAAAUGCGUAGAGAUAUGGAGGAACACCAGUGGCGAAGGCGGCUUCCUGGUCUGUAACUGACACUGAGGCGCGAAAGCAUGGGUAGCGAACAGGAUUAGAUACCCCUGUA
rnacentral:rRNA from 1 species